GACGAACGCUGGCGGCGUGCCUAAUACAUGCAAGUUGAGCGAUGAUGACUGGUGCUUGCACCACUUUGAAGAGCAGCGAACGGGUGAGUAACGCGUGGGGAAUCUGCCUUUGAGCGGGGGACAUAAUUUGGAAACGAAUGCUCAUACCGCAUAACAACUUUAAACAUACGUUUUAAGUUUGAAAGAUGCAAUUGCAUCACUCAAAGAUGAUCCCGCGUUGUAUUAGCUAGUUGGUGAGGUAAAGGCUCACCAAGGCGAUGAUACAUAGCCGACCUGAGAGGGUGAUCGGCCACAUUGGGACUGGGACACGGCCCAAACUCCUACGGGAGGCAGCAGUAGGGAAUCUUCGGCAAUGGACGAAAGUCUGACCGAGCAACGCCGCGUGAGGGAAGAAGGUUUUCGGAUCGUAAAACUCUGUUGGUAGAGAAGAACGGUGGUGGGAGUGGAAAGCUCAUCAAGUGACGGUAACUACCCAGAAAGGGACGGCUAACUACGUG
rnacentral:rRNA from 1 species